rnacentral:rRNA from 1 species
CAGCCGCCGCGGUAAUACGUAGGGUGCGAGCGUUCAUCGGAUUUACUGGGCGUAAAGCGUGCGCAGGCGGCCCGUUAAGACAGGUGUGAAAUCCCUGGGCUCAACCUAGGAAUUGCGCUUGUGACUGGCGGGCUCGAGUACGGUAGAGGGGGGUGGAAUUCCUGGUGUAGCAGUGAAAUGCGUAGAGAUCAGGAGGAACACCGAUGGCGAAGGCAGCCCCCUGGGCCUGUACUGACGCUCAUGCACGAAAGCGUGGGGAGCAAACAGGAUUAGAUACCCGGGUAGUCCACGCCCUAAACGAUGGGUACUAGCCGUUUGGUGCGCGAUAGCGCUGAGUGGCGAAGCUAACGCGUGAAGUACCCCGCCUGGGGAGUACGGCCGCAAGGUUGAAACUUAAAGGAAUUGGCGGG